AGCUGACUCUUAAUCAGCGGGUCCCAGGUUCGAGCCCUGGUGCGCCCACCA
rnacentral:tRNA from 1 species